UGCAGCGCAUUCGUAAUAUGCAAAAUCCCGAACAAGCAGCUGCUAACUUUCUAGAUUCUCUCUAGGUUUCCCAAUCGAUGCUGGAGAAGCAUGGCACAGAAUGCGCUUUUUGCAGCCGUUUUGCUUCUCGCAUCAGUGACAUUCGUGUCUUCGAAUGAUCUUAUCAAAUAUGCACCCGUUCUCGGCAAAAGACUGGAUAUCAGAAAGUUUGUUGGUACCAAGGAACCUAUAUGGACUUCUAAUACAACCACAAAGGAGCAUAUUUCAUGUGAAGUGGACCAGAUGAAGAGUAUGACGCAAGGAUCCAUUCUUUUCACAAGAAAAUUUGACGCUUACCGUGAAUUGCAUCCAAUUACUAAGAACUACGAAGGAAUCUUUCCGCAGGAACAACAAAACGUAAUGCAACUCCGCAAACCAGGUAUCAAAAAGGAAGCUAAUACGGUCACCACUUUGUGGCGAAGGAAACUAUUGUUUAUCUAAGUGAAACAUAUCGCUGCGCAGUGAUCAAGGUGACACCUACCCUACGAGUUUGUAGGUACAAGGCAACCUAUAUGGACUUGGAAUACAACCACAAAGGAGCGUGUUUCAUGUAAUGUGGACCAGAUGAAGAGCCUGGCACAAAAAUCCAUCAUCUUCACACGAACAUUUUACACUAACAACGAAUUUCAUCUGAUUGUUAAGGACUACAUGGGAGUCUUUCCAAAAGAAAAACAAAACGUGAUGCUACUCCGUAAAUUAGAUAACAACUUCGCGGCGAAGGAAACUAUACUUUAUCUCAAUGAAAAAUAUCAUUGCGGAGUGAUUAGGGUGACAUCUACCCUGAGCGUUUGUAGGUACAAGGGAACCUAUAUGGACUUGGAAUACAACCACAAAGGAGCGUGCUUCAUGUGUUGUGGACGAGAUGAAGAUCCUGACACAAAGAUCCAUUUUCUUCACACGAACAUUUUACAUUAACAAUGAAUUGCCACCGAUUGUUAGGAACUACAUGGGAAUCAUUCCAAAGCAGGAACCAAACGCGAUGGAACUCCGUAGAUCAGAUAACCACUUCCCGGUGAAGGAAACUAUUCUUUAUCUCAGUGAAAAAUGUCACUGCGCAGUGAUUCGGGUGACAUCGAGCCUACGCGUUUGUAAACACCUCGGAACCCAUAUGGACCUACAAAACUACUGAGAUACCACAAAUACGCUGCCUGUCUCACCUAAUGCGUUCCAUACACCCAAUGUUCAUUGAAUUCAACAGAACACACUUAUAUCGUAACCGAGUGUAAGAAUCUUACAUUCCUAAAUUCCGUGACUCCUUCUUCUGGUGUAUAAUUCUUAUUCCUCACUAACAGCGUCCGCGUUGCACAACGGGGACAGUUUAGUACGGCGUUGGCGGAACGGAUGACUAUCACCGAUAUGGGUGGGUUACAAAUGUCUGUUGAAUAUUUGUUGUACAAGGCUCCGGAUUCUUCGUGCGCCGUUGUAAAAGUGCGGUCUUCUUUCGAUCGUAUCCUGGACCAUUACGAUCUCCGUGUAAGAAAUUCUUCUGCUACAGCCGGCCCUCGCCCAAUGUGUAAAAGAUGGUUCUCUCAAGUCGCACCUCACGGCAGGGUCAUAUAUAAUAGAAAUUGUGAGCGCUUACUUCGCCCAUGGGAGUGAUUCCGUAUCAGCAUUCGUACAAUCCAUCAUUUGCCUUUUAGCAAUCAUUUGAAUGUGGUGGAACUCUUGACUGGUGUCAUAUAAACGUAAAGUGUCAGCCUUACAAUAAAAAAAUUCGUUUUCCA